AGGGGCGUAGGCUCAAUGGUAAACCGACGGUCUCCAAAACCGUUUUUGGGGGUUCGAAUCCCUCCGCCCCUGCCA
rnacentral:tRNA from 2 species